UACGUAGGUCCCGAGCGUUGUCCGGAUUUAUUGGGCGUAAAGCGAGCGCAGGUGGUUUAAUAAGUCUGAUGUAAAAGGCAGUGGCUCAACCAUUGUGUGCAUUGGAAACUGUUAGACUUGAGUGCAGAAGAGGAGAGUGGAAUUCCAUGUGUAGCGGUGAAAUGCGUAGAUAUAUGGAGGAACACCGGUGGCGAAAGCGGCUCUCUGGACUGUAACUGACACUGAGGCUCGAAAGCGUGGGUAGCAAACAGG
rnacentral:rRNA from 1 species